CCUACGGGGAGCAGCAGUGAGGAAUAUUGGUCAAUGGACGCAAGUCUGAACCAGCCAUGCCGCGUGCAUGAAGACGGCCCUAUGAGUUGUAAAUUGCUUUUGUACGAGGGUAAGCGCAGAUACGCGUAUCUGUCUGAAAGUACCGUACGAAUAAGGAUCGGCUAACUCCGUGCCAGCAGCCGCGGUAAUACGGAGGAUUCAAGCGUUAUCCGGAUUGAUUGGGUUUAAAGGGGACGUAGGCGGUCCGAUAAGUUAGAGGUGAAGUCCCGAGGCUCAACUUCGGAAUUGCCUCUGAUACUGUUCGGCUAGAGAGUAGUUGAGGUGGGUGGAAUGUAUGGUGUAGCGGUGAAAUGCUUAGAGAUCAUACAGAACACCGAUUGCGAAGGCAGCUUCCCAAGCUACGUCUGACGUUGAGGCACGAAAGCGUGGGGAGCAAACAGGAUUAGAUACCCUAGUAGUC
rnacentral:rRNA from 1 species